rnacentral:rRNA from 1 species
UACGGAGGGUGCAAGCGUUAUCCGGAUUCACUGGGUUUAAAGGGUGCGUAGGCGGGCAGGUAAGUCCGUGGUGAAAUCUCUGAGCUUAACUCAGAAACUGCCAUGGAUACUAUUUGUCUUGGGUGCCGGAGAGGAAAGCGGAAUUCCUGGUGUAGAGGUGAAAUUCGUAGAUAUCAGGAGGAACACCAGUGGCGAAGGCGACUACCUGGCCUGUUCUUGACGCUGAGGCGCGAAAGCUAGGGGAGCAAACGGG